CAUUGUAAUCUUUGGCAAAAGGCUUUCCGGCCGAUCGAUCACCAUUAUCCCAUUGCCAUGUUUUCGCCAACGGCGCCCCUGGCGACCAAGAACCCCGGCUCUCGGAGAUCCACCGAGUGCUGUGCCGCGCCCGUCGCUCCCGGCAGGGGGUUUCUUCUUCUUUGAUUUGAUCUCGCGAAAAGUUACACUUCUCGAUCUCCGAAAUCUGGGUAGCGUUUCACCUGGCAUCUUUCUCCAACGCCCUGAACUACCACUUUUUGAUUCGCUGGAAGACAAUCCUGACAUGCCAUGCGAGUUCGGCGAAGCACAUAGGAAAAGAGUGCGACAUAUGUUUCCAUUUCUUGGAUUCCCUUUAGCAAUGUCGAUUAAUGAAAAUUCGAAUUCGGGUGGCAAAGAUUAUAGACAUUGCCCCUAUAUGUUUAUGUAGCUACUUCUUGUUUUAUGAUCAAUUGGACAAAGGCUGGUACCAGCUUUUGGUUUGUGGAACAACACCAUGGAUGAUACAUGGAUAUGGUGAAAUCAGAGAUGUGUUUCUAAAGCACUUUGGGAGAAAAGUGCUAUGAAGUGACAGAGGACGGAAUAUUCUUGGUUGGCGAAUGGAUUGCAUGGAAGGUGUCUCACCAAAGUUAAGUUGUUAAAGAUUGUUGAGAUAUGUUGAGAAGGUAUAUAAAUUGCCAGACAGAAUUAAAAUUGUGUCCAGAUGAGUAGAGGAGCAGCUGGAGGGAACAACACAUUGCUUGGGGAACCCAAACCUCCCUUGUACAGGGAUCCAGGUACCUGCUGAAUUCUUCUAAAACUAUAUCAUGAAUAACAGCAGCUAUUCGUAGCUUGGCCGAGAGGAUACUGUCUGAAUGAGUUAUUUCCGUUGUUUCAAAUUAAUUCUCAUUUCAUUUCUUGGUUCUUUUAUGUAAUUAUUCUGUUUCCAGUAAAACUAUGGCUGUCACUAGUGAACAACCUUCAUGAUAUGAAGCAAAAUUGGGACCAACAACUUCUAUUGCACUCCUUGUCUUCUAAUAAGCUUUUUCCUAUUAGUCAACUUAAAUCUCUUUUUUCUUUCUCAGAUUGGGACCGUAUCUUUUGCGGUCAUUCUUCACAGGAAUAAGUAUGAUAUUGUUCUUAUGGGAAAAAAUUCUGUAUAACCUAAACUGCAUCGGCUAGCUUGCUAAUGCUUUGUUAACACCUUCUGUUUGUUCAAUAUCUCGCACUAACAUUUUGGUAUUGCAAAACAAUUAUA